rnacentral:lncRNA from 1 species
AGAGAAUGAGAAACAUCAUCAAGCGUCAACUACUUUGCUAAGAGUAUGCAAAUUUUCUCCAAUGAGGCCCCAAACAACAAAGUACAAUAUAAUAAUUUGAUCAUCUGCUUACCAAUCUGACGAAUGAUUGUUGCUGAACCGUAUAUAACAAACAAUAAAAAUAGGAGAAAGAAGUGUUAGAACUCCAUCUUUCAGCUACUAUUUUACAUAUUCUUAUAGUGUGAACCUGCAUAUUCUAAUUAGG